rnacentral:rRNA from 1 species
CUACGGGUCGCAGCAGUGAGGAAUAUUGCACAAUGGGGGGAACCCUGAUGCAGCAACGCCGCGUGGAGGAUGACGCAUUUCGGUGUGUAAACUCCUUUUAUAUGUCAAGAAAAUGACGGUAGCAUAUGAAUAAGCACCGGCUAACUCCGUGCCAGCAGCCGCGGUAAUACGGAGGGGCAAGCGUUACUCGGAAUCACUGGGCGGAAAGGACGCGUAGGCGGGUUGGAAAGUCAGGUGUGAAAUCCUACAGCUUAACUGUAGAACUGCACUUGAAACUUCUAAACUAGAGUAUGGGAGGGGGAGAUGGAAUUAGUGGUGUAGGGGUAAAAUCCGUAGAUAUCACUAGGAAUACCUAAAGCGAAGGCGAUCUCCUGGAACAUUACUGACGCUAAGGCGUGAAAGCGUGGGGAGCAAACAGGAUUAGAUACCCGAGUAGUC